rnacentral:lncRNA from 1 species
GCCCAGAGUGGAUCUGAAAGCAAAGUGGAACCUAAAAAAUGUGAACUGUCAAAGAACUCUGAUAUCGAACAGUCUUCAGAUAGCAAAGUCAAAAAUCUCUCUGCUUCCUUUCCAACGGAAGAAUCUUCAAUCAACUACACAUUUAAAACACCAGAAAAGGAUUUAAUUUUAGCCUUUUUAAAUCUAAUCCCAUGGCCUUUUGGACUAGCACCCCUUCC